rnacentral:misc_RNA from 1 species
AGCUCAAGGCAAGCACGUACAUCAGUCUCUUCGCUUGCCGGAUUGUCCGUUGCACGGCUGUCACGCGCCGCGGUGGAACAGAAGGGAAAAAGGAAACAUAGCCCAUCAUGGACGGCGGUGACCCGGCCUUCUACGAAGAUGCAGUGCUCCAUGACGAGGAGGAGGAAGUGAAUGAUAGCGCACCGCAGGCUACCCUCAAGUUGCUCGGCGACUUCCCGGAGCCCCUCACCGAGCCUCAACGACGCGCUGUCCAGCGCCACGUCUCGCAGAAAGUCCGCGAGUAUGAGGUGGUGCGGUAUCAGGUGGCGGUUGUCGAGCAGGGGUAUUUGGCGCUGCUGCGCCUCGUGAAGCGACUGCGACGGGAGGCAGCAGACCUUACAGCGAGCCUCGCCGAGGGCGGAAACAAGGCGGAGACGCCGGUCUCCACGACUGCUGCGUCCGUCCCACGUGUGCGCACGACACUGCCCGCUGCUCCAACUGCUGGUGAGAAGCCAACGGCUACAGUCGCCGCAGCGGAAACAUCCGCCGCCUCCGCGCCGAAGGAGGGAGCCGCGGCCCCGAAGCGCCGCCCUGGUGGGUUGCUGCUUCGCUCCUCCGUCUUCAGCGGCCUCCAGCGGGUGCUUCAGGUGGCCAAGACGGAGCAGCUCGAUGAAAAGGCGGAGCAGCUGGCGAGGCAGCGUGAGAGGAUCGCGCGCGAGUCCCGCCUUCACCUCGUCAGCCAGGACCUAGAAGCACAGGAAGCGCUGCUGGUGCCGCUGCAACGCAAGUACGCACGCGCCGUUGCCCUGGGAGCGGCCGCCGCAGAGGAGGUCACACCCCUGUUGACGCUACUGGAGGACAUGUGGCGGCUCGAGGCGCUGUACCCCUCUCGCUUCUCCAUGGCUGCCAGAGGCACGCUGCAGCCCCUCCUAGGCGACGGCACAUACGCAGAAGGAGAGGCCGACAAGGCGGAAGAGGAGGCGUUGGUCAGCACAGACGACAGCGUGGGUCGCACGGCAGCGCACUCCGCAGCUGCCGUGCCAUUUUUGGUCCCCUUCACCCCUGCUCAGUACACCGCCGACAUCGAAGACCUCGUGCGUGCCCAAGUGGAGGUGGUGAUCGACGAGUAUCUAGCCUACCGCGCCCGUAUCGACCCGGUGCUUUACCAGCUAGAGCAGUCGCAGCAGCUGGCCAAGGCGAAGAAAGUCGAUCAGCUCAUGGACGCCAUCGGCAUUGCUGGUGCGGAGACCGACACAGAGGUGCUACCGAUCGGCGGCGCGGCCGCCGUGCUGCAAGAUGAGCGCGCCGGUGAGUCGGUCAAGACGCUGCAGCAUAUGAUGGAUAUCUCGUCCGACGACGAGGAUGACGACCAGGCCGAGGCGGGCGUAGCGAUGGGCGGCGAUGCUGCCGACGUGGACCGCCACGACAGAGAGCAGAUUCAGACGGCGCUGACAGCGCUCGACGACUUCGAAGACGCUUAAAGAAGGAUAUGCUUUGCGUGUGUGUAUGCGAGCGUGUAGCACGGGGCAGCGCAAAAAAAAAAGAAAACGAAACGGAAAGGUCGACAAGGCGUCACAGAGAGAGCGAUGCGGAGAGGUGCCGCAAAAAUCUACGUGGUUGGUUUUCAGUUGCGCCACCCCCCACCCCAACCCUCCCACCCUAUCACAUUUGGAUGUGACGAGCCGACGUUCUUACGUUUAUGCACAUCGAUGCAUUUGGUCUUGCUCGCGCAUGGGAACAUGGGAUCGUCGAGCUAUGUUUGAUUGCAUCUCUGUGGCCCACCCCACCCCUUUCUGGCCCUCGGCUGUCUCCACCACAUAAAAG